CGUGCUGCCCCUCUGGUCCCUGGUCCUUUGCCUCUGCUGCUCUGGUUAAUCUCGGUCGUUCUUCCUCCACGGUGGUCCUCUACAUCUAUUGUUCCUCUGGUCCCUGCUCGUACGCAUCGCUUGGUUUCUGGUUUCUGCUCUGCUGAAGGUUUUACAAUUGAAUCAAUGUUGGAUCACAUGAAACAAUUACUUGAGACACCAGGUUCAAAGCUGCUCUUUGGGGGCAAGCCUUUAGAGGGUCAUUCUAUUCCACCUAUUUACGGUGCUAUUAAGCCCAUUGCUAUUUAUGUUCUCCUUGAGAAAAUUGUGAAGGACAAGAAUUAUGAGCUUGUGACAAAAGAAAUUUUUUGACCUUUCCAGAUACAAAAAUAAGGGCUAUAAACAUGAAAAUUUUCAAGUGUUUUCCCCUCUUUAAAUUAUAAUAUCAAUAUACACUUUGUAUGAGA